rnacentral:rRNA from 1 species
UACGAAGGGGCUAGCGUUGCUCGGAAUUACUGGGCGUAAAGCGCACGUAGGCGGUCUUUAAGUCGGGGUGAAAUCCUGGAGCUCAACUCCAGAACUGCCUUCGAUACUGGAAGACUUGAGUCCGGGAGAGGUGAGUGGAACUGCGAGUGUAGAGGUGAAAUUCGUAGAUAUCGCAAGAACACCAGUGGCGAAGGCGGCUCACUGGCCCGGUACUGACGCUGAGGUGGCGAAAGCGUGGGGAGCAAACAGGG